rnacentral:rRNA from 1 species
CUCCAACCCCUGUGACAUACCUUAAUGUUGCCUCGGCGGAUCAGCCCGCGCCCCGUAAAACGGGACGGCCCGCCAGAGGACCCAAACUCUAAUGUUUCUUAUUGUAACUUCUGAGUAAAACAAACAAAUAAAUCAAAACUUUCAACAACGGAUCUCUUGGUUCUGGCAUCGAUGAAGAACGCAGCAAAAUGCGAUAAGUAAUGUGAAUUGCAGAAUUCAGUGAAUCAUCGAAUCUUUGAACGCACAUUGCGCCCGCUGGUAUUCCGGCGGGCAUGCCUGUUCGAGCGUCAUUUCAACCCUCAAGCCCCCGGGUUUGGUGUUGGGGAUCGGCUCUGCCCUUCUGGGCGGUGCCGCCCCCGAAAUACAUUGGCGGUCUCGCUGCAGCCUCCAUUGCGUAGUAGCUAACACCUCGCAACUGGAACGCGGCGCGGCCAUGCCGUAAAACCCCAACUUCUGAAUGUUGACCUCGGAUCAGGUAGGAAUACCCGCUGAACUUAAGCAUAUCAAA